rnacentral:rRNA from 1 species
UACGGAGGGUGCAAGCGUUUAUCCGGAUUCACUGGGUUUAAAGGGUGCGUAGGCGGGCAGGUAAGUCCGUGGUGAAAUCUCCAAGCUUAACUUGGAAACUGCCGUGGAUACUAUUUGUCUUGAAUAUAGUGGAGGUGAGCGGAAUAUGUCAUGUAGCGGUGAAAUGCUUAGAUAUGACAUAGAACACCCAUUGCGAAGGCAGCUCGCUACACUAUUAUUUGACGCUGAGGCACGAAAAGCGUGGGGGAUCAAAACAGG